AAGUGAAAAAGUAAUUCUGAUAAACUGACAAAGAGCUAAUGGCCUGGGAAUAACAGAGAUUUCACUUACCCUGCCCUGCGAAAGCUCACAGGUCUUUGAUUGGCUGUACAGAAUAAUCAAUAUGGAAGAGCCACUGUAUUGUGAGCUGGAGCAGAAUGAUUUUGUAUGCUCCACAAUUAUUUCUGAAGUCUUUUUGGCAUCAACCUUGAGGAACCAAAGGAGAGAAAGUCUGAGAAGGAGAACCAAGCAAGGAAGAACUCACCCCCAGAAAUGCACCAAACAAGGGAGGGGGAGGAGAGAAAUAGAUGCUUUCUACAUUUGUUUGAAGCCAAACAAACACCAGUCAAAUCAAGUUAUGAUUUUCUUUUUUCUUUCUUCUAUCUUUUUUUAAAGUGAAUUAAUAAAAUCAGCU